GAAAUGCGAUAAGUAAUGUGAAUUGCAGAAUUCAGUGAAUCAUCGAAUCUUUGAACGCACAUUGCGCCCGCCAGUAUUCUGGCGGGCAUGCCUGUCCGAGCGUCAUUUCAACCAUCAAGCCCCCGGGCUUGUGUUGGGGACCUGCGGCUGCCCGCAGGCCCUGAAAACCAGUGGCGGUCCCUCCGCGACCUCCCCUGUGCAGUAGCGAUACCUCGCAGCGGGACAGCGGUCUGACCACGCCGUAAAACCCCCAACUUCUCAAGGUUGACCUCGAAUCAGGUAGGAAUACCCGCUGAACUUAAGC
rnacentral:misc_RNA from 1 species